UGCUGAAAUGGGCACUUUCCCUCCAAAAGAGUAAAUAGUAUUUAACAUGAACGUAUGUCUAAUCAAAACAAGACUUGUCUGCCACCAGAGUCCAUGCCACCAGAGUCCAUGCAUCUAUCUAAUAACUUUCUACUGGACUACAUGAAAAUCCUGGAAGUAAAUUGGGGAGAUGGGUUACUUUACUUUCAAGUGUCACUGUUCAGAUUAAAUCAAUGUGGUCAUGCUGAGGCCGGCCCCACUAACAAAAUGAACAUUUUUGCCUGUAUAACAUUGAGCAAUGACACUUAACAUGGUCAUGUCUGUAUAAAUGUAGUAGAUGCAUUAAUUUCCCACCUCAAUAGGCAGUUCACCUCCUUCUUCUCUCUAUUCAUCCUUUUUCACUUCUUUUGUUUUCAUUUCAUCAUACUUUGAAUCUUAUGUUGAGGGUUCAUUAUGCAUCACUUGUUAUACUUGGUAUGCCAUGCUCAAUCGCUGAAUCAACUUUGCAGUAAACCAGCACAAUAUUCACAAUUCUUGGCUUUUUGUGUCUGAAUCAAUGCCCUUCACAAGAUGUUCUUGAUGGAAUGGAUCAUCAGUGCCAUGUACAGAACUCAAUCUAGGAGAGAAGUUCCAACCUGCCAUCUGUUCCAGGUCAUGGUCAUUGGAUCUCAUAUUGGCUUCUUCUUUGAAUUUGAUGAAAAACAUGGAUGUCCAGUAAUCUUUUGCUAAAUUCAUUUUCAUUAGCUGCAGCACCUCAUUUAUUGCAUUAUUAAAGAGAUCAGGGUGUGCUAGAUCAACUGUAGUCAAUAUUUCUUGCCGCGUUCGGUGAGAUAUGUUCACCUCUGUUGCUGCACCUGCAACUAUAUAUUUCUCAAUAAUAUGCCGGGUCAUAUAGAUCCUUCUUACUGUGUCAUCUAUUGGGAUUUUGCCACGCUCAUGCACUUCAUUAUAGAAAUGAACACUCUCCCCAGCCAAACAACUGUCAGCAAAAGCCAUAAAAGACUGACGGAAUCUUUUGUUCAGAAGAAGCUUGUCCAGUGGUUCAUUAGGAUCUAUGACUGGAGCUGGAUCUCUUUGCAUUAGUAGUCCACUAUCAGGAAUUCCCAAAGCCUGGCCCAUUGUUUCAAAUUGUAGAGGUUCUCUUUUCCUCAAGCUGAUUUGUGAAAGCAAAGGUUGUGAACUUGAUAUAGAGAAGAAAGCCAGCACAAGAAUACUUGCAGUAAUUAGAAGAAAAAAUCUGGAGACAACUUGAAGCCAUGAGAUAUCAUCAUGAAUUUCAUUCAAAAUAUAAGCAACCACCCAUACUCCAAUAGAUGAUGCUGAGACAAGUAUCCCCAGCCACAGGUCUUUGAGUUCAUCAAACCUGAACUCUAUAUGUCGAAU
rnacentral:misc_RNA from 1 species